CAGUCAAUGAUGAGAACUUACAGUCUUGAAGUGAGAUGAUGACCUGGAAAUCAUGAUCAAUGGAAUUAAAAUGAAGAUA
ensembl:snoRNA SNORD115 Small nucleolar RNA SNORD115